rnacentral:lncRNA from 1 species
GUACAUAUAAUCAUAAUGAAUAAGAAUCUUAGAUAAAAGAAAUAAAGGGUUCCAAAUAGGUUACAUUGUUUGCCCUAUAAACAAGAAGUUAUUAUGGAAGACAUCACUAGGUUUUGAAUAAGAAUAUAGAAUAAGAAAUCAAUCUUGCACCAAGAUAUUCUUCCUCUUCCAAUAAUGCGUUAAACCUUAGAUUGUUUGAUGUUUUCCUCCUUUGAAUUCCUCUUUUGAUUCUCCAAUUAUGUUCACUUGUCUCUCAAUGUGUAAAUCCCCUAAAAAGCGUGAGAAAAAUUGUAUUUAUGGGUGCCUCCUCUUGUCUAUGGAAAAUAUGAUUUUUAUGGACUUCAAAACGGGCCAAAAAGCACCCUAGACACACCCAGGCGGCACCUCGGUGCCUUGAAGUGGCAUCGCAGCGCAACAGCUUUGGUGCCACCUUUCGGGCAGACAGCAUCUUGUUUAGUAUUUUUAUCAUAACUUUCUCUGUUGAUAUCCAAUUGAGGCAAUUCAAGUUGCAUUGGAAAGCUUAUUUAAAGGGCUACAACUUUGCUUUAGAUAUUAUUUUCAAAUUUGAUCAUUUUCUAUGUCAAAAUUGGGUCCCAAUAUGAGGUUGAAAAUAAUGCAUAACUUUUUUCCGUUUGAACUUGAUGUGUGAUCAUACUUUGAUUGUAUUUAAUCCCUCCGAUAUUUUUAUUUAUCCAGUAGACUCUGAGAACUCUUGAAUCUUCACUAUGAGGUCCGAUACAACUUUCGAGUAUUUACACUUUAGUUCCCGAACUUUGGAUCUCUUACAACUUAGUCUUUUUCUCCAAUUUUGACCACUUUUGCUUCUUCUACUUUCUUGUACCAUCAUUGAAUUUUACCUAUUCAACACCAAUUACAACAAUUUAGACCAUAUUUCAUUCAAAAAGCAAUUAAAUAUCAUCGUUUUAAAGUCUUGAAUAAGUGUAUAAAAUACACUUAUGUUGUAAUGGAAGUAAUCACGAAAUAAAUAGACGUGGAUUGUUAUUAGGUCUUCAAAUGAUCUAGGUUUAAUCAUUAUAUUUUCCAAAAGUGUUAAAACAUUCAUGGAAAGUUUUUGCAAGGGUCCUCUACUAAGAAUUUGGCAAAUGAUUGAAAUAAUGCUUGCCUUCAUUCAAGAGAAUUGAGUCUUAGACAGGGUGGGAGGUUGAUGCACAAACAAGAGAUGUACUUUUGUUGUUUUAUGUUAGCCUUCUACAAACUUGAGAUAACCGCCAGGGUUCGAUCGAAGUGGGAUAUUGACAUGACCCGUCCCAAAUCACCCUAGUGGAUCCGAAACGUGACGUGAGUUGAUGAUAGAUGCUGACUAGAUGUCAAAUCUAUCACUAAGGCUGACUAUGAGUUAUUUCAAAAAAUACAACAAAAUCAAAUGCUUAUGUAAAACAUAAUACGAUGGGUCCAAUAUAUUUACUUCAUGCUUCAUCAAUAUGAGUUAUAAUAUUCAACAUGUCGUGUGACUCUCAUUCUAAAAUCAUUAGGCUCUUCAAGCUAAAAGGAAUCUAUUGCUAUUUGUAGGAAAAAUUAUGGGAAAAUAUAUUAGUUGAUAGCUCAGUAAGUGGAGAAGUACGAAAAUAAUUAUACUUUUUCAAUUUUACAUUUUUAUCGAAAAUCGAUUUCAUAUUAUUGAAUAGUUUGCAAGAUAACAUCAUAUGAUUAUAGCCAAAACGUAAAACAUUCAUGUAACGUGGUAAAAUAUCAUCUCAAAAUCAUAAUAUGAACAAAAGGUGGUAAUCAUGCUAUAAUCUCAUCACAGCAAAUGUAUUGAACAAUUCACCAAAAAUAUAUCCUCUGACUAAAAUAUAUAAUCCGCCACUUGGGUUAAGAACUUUUGCCAUGGGCCUUUGGCCCCCUCCGUAAACAAAAAGUCGAUAUCAAAGACUUCUCAUAAUCAAUUUUAGAACACGGUCAAGACCCCUCUGUAAACUAUAUAUAUACGGUCGAGACCCCUUCAUCUACGGUCCGAGACCCCUUCAUCUACGGUCCAAGACCCCUCAGUGUAGUGUAGAACACGGCCAAGGACUCUCUGUGAACUAGAAGAAGUAUAUAAUCAUGGGUACUUUUUUGGUCAAUCUCAACAUCACAUGUCUUACAUACCAAACAAAUUUCAAUAUCACAUGUCUCACAUACCAAAUUAUAAAUAUGCCAUAAAUAAUCUUUGAGAUUCCGCAUGUAUUCUAAUAAAAGAGAUUUCUGUAAUAAUCAUAAAAUCGAACACAUAAUUGCAAAUAAAUGCACAUACUUUGAUAAUAGACUUAAUUUAUAAAUACUUUAAAAACAUUUAUAUGUUUCCACUUACAGAUCUAUGGAUAGAAAUCUACUUAAAUUGACAAGUCUUUCCAAACUUUCACGUCAUUACCUGAAAUAACAGUAUAGUUACUCAAAUUAAAACUUGACAAUUAAAGUAAUACAAUUUCACCACUUAACUCCCCAACUUCUAUAUUUACUUUUACAUCUCUAGUUCCCCAACUUUUAUUUUCUUUAUUGAUUCAUCAACAAAACACCAUGCAUUAUUAAAUCCAUUAAAUUACUCACACUUCCUUAAAAUCAAUAACUUAUACAUAUACAACCCCUAUGCAUAAUUUAUUCCGAUACAUAAACCUCAAUACUUGUCAUAAAACUUCAUUCAAGCCUUUAAAAUGUGAAAUCAAAGGUUUGACAAAGACAGCACUAAAAUUCCAUAAUGUUGAAAUCUGACACCAAUUUCUAGAUAUUGAAAUUUGGCCCCAAAACUAUUGAUAGAAGUGGCAACAUUCUGGGCACACUUUUAGAAAUAGCACCUAUACUACAGUAACCCUAAAAUUACCUUUAAAAAAUGGAAAAUUCCAACCUCAAAUCCCUAAUUUAAGUGUUCAAUAUUAUAGAAUCACAACAAAAUCAAAGAGUAAGUAUUUAUCUCACAAACCCCUUCAAAAUUCCAAUUUCUUCAUCACAAAUUUCAAAAUAUACAUUCCUUUGAUAUAUUCUUGUUUAAUACCUCAAAAAUAUAAUAAUAAUCUCUAAUUCUUGCUAAACUUCGAAUAUGAAUGAAUGGUUCAUAAACUCUAGAAAUUUAAUUAACUUACCUCUUUAAAAUAAGGAUAAGCUGAAGAAAUGAAGAACCCAAACUUAUAAAAAUCACCGGCCUCUUCCAUUUCCUUUCUUUUCUUCUUUUUUUUCUUCCUUUUUCUCUCUUUUUCUCCCUCUUUUUCUCGAAUUCUCCCAGCUUCUGCCCCGUUUCCACUUUCCACAUUCUUGUAUAUGUUUUUGUGUGUGUAAUGAAAUGAACAAGUGGUUUUUAAAUGGGCCACAACUAAAAUUUGUAAAGAAAAUCCCCCUUCUUCAAUUAAGCAUAACAUUUAGUCAUUAAACUUCCAUACUUGUAAAUUAAAUUCUAA